rnacentral:rRNA from 1 species
AACGAACGCUGGCGGCAUGCCUAACACAUGCAAGUCGAACGAGACCUUCGGGUCUAGUGGCGCACGGGUGCGUAACGCGUGGGAACCUGCCCUUAGGUUCGGAAUAACUCCCCGAAAGGGGUGCUAAUACCGGAUAAUGUCUUCGGACCAAAGAUUUAUGGCCUUUGGAUGGGCCCGCGUUGGAUUAGCUAGUUGGUAGGGUAAAAGCCUACCAAGGCGACGAUCCAGAGCUGGUCUGAGAGGAUGAUCAGCCACACUGGGACUGAGACACGGCCCAGAAUCCUACGGGAGGGAGCAGUGGGGAAUAUUGGACAAUGGGCGAAAGCCUGAUCCAGCAGUGCCGCGUGAGUGAUGAAGGCCUUAGGGUUGUAAAGCUCUUUUACCCGGGAUGAUAAUGACAGUACCGGGAGAAGAAGCUCCGGCUAACUCCGUG